GGGACAACCCGCCGAAAGGCGGGCUAAACCCGCGUACAUGCCACCGGGGCAUCCCGGAGGCAGGAAAGGCUUCGGCCGGACAGGGAUGGGCAUGCGGCGCAUUAGGCAGUAGGCGUGGUAACGGCCCACCUAACCGACGAUGCGUAGGGGUUCUGAGAGGAAGGUCCCCCACACUGGUACUGAGACACGGACCAGACUCCUACGGGAGGCAGCAGUGAGGAAUAUUGGUCAAUGGUCGGGAGACUGAACCAGCCAAGCCGCGUGAGGGAGGAAGGUACAGGGUAUCGUAAACCUCUUUUGUCAGGGAACAAAGACUGGGACGCGUCCCCGGAUGAGUGUACCUGAAGAAAAAGCAUCGGCUAACUCCGUGCCAGCAGCCGCGGUAAUACGGAGGAUGCGAGCGUUAUCCGGAUUUAUUGGGUUUAAAGGGUGCGCAGGCGGUCUGUUAAGUCAGCGGUCAAAGCCCGGGGCUCAACCCCGGCCCGCCGUUGAAACUGGCAGCCUCGAGUUGGAGAGAAGUAUGCGGAAUGCGCGGUGUAGCGGUGAAAUGCAUAGAUAUCGCGCAGAACUCCGAUUGCGAAGGCAGCAUGCCGGCUCCACACUGACGCUGAGGCACGAAAGCGUGGGUAUCGAACAGGAUUAGAUACCCUGGUAGUCCACGCAGUAAACGAUGAAUAAUGGCUGUCCG
rnacentral:rRNA from 1 species